rnacentral:rRNA from 1 species
UACGGAGGGGGCUAGCGUUGUCCGGAAUUACUGGGCGUAAAGCGCGCGUAGGCGGUCCACCAAGUCGGGGGUGAAAGCCCGGGGCUCAACCCCGGAAUGUCCUCCGAGACUGAUGGACUGGAGUUCGGGAGAGGAGAGCGGAAUUUCCAGUGUAGAGGUGAAAUUCGUAGAUAUUGGGAAGAACUCCGGUGGCGAAGGCGGCUCUCUGGCCCGCAACUGACGCUGAGGCGCGAAAGCGUGGGGAGCAAACAGG